rnacentral:lncRNA from 1 species
AAGAGGAUCUUUGAACAAUCCAAGACAGGACACCUUUCAAUGUUCAAUUCUUUCAGAGCGAUAGGUAGCUUACCUUCAGGAAAGAUUUUGGGUUUAGAAAAAUCCAACAUAGCUAACCUUUUUAGAUGACUGCAGUGUUGCUCCAACAUGGAAUCAUCAGUAUUCAAAUCUUGAAUUUGCAACUUUUGAAGCCCACAAGGCAAUGGCUCCAAUCACAGUGCAUCACAUCUCCGUAAAUUAAGUUGGCGAAUGCUUGUUGUCCUUGGAAGCAAGCUUUGAAGAUUCUCGCAAUUUCUAAUCUCCAGUUUUGUUAAAGACCAAAGUGUUAAGCAUUGGCCUGCAAUGCAACAUUUGGCCAGCAAGAUAGGUAGCAGACCAGCAGUGAAGCAGAACCAAAUGCAGCAACUAGCUUAAGACCAUUUUGUUCUUUUUGUUCCAAUGUAACCAACUUUAGUUUGUUUGUAAUUUGUAAUCUAAGUUAGUAGGAUUUUUGAUGUAAUUGAUGUAAUGGCUAAUAUAUCAGCUUGCUUUGGC